GGCGGAUGUCAGCGGUUCGAGUCCGCUUACCUCCAGGGGGUAUAGCUCAGUUGGUAGAGCGCCGCCCUUGCAA
rnacentral:tRNA from 1 species